ACUCCUACGGGAGGCAGCAGUGGGGAAUAUUGCACAAUGGGCGCAAGCCUGAUGCAGCCAUGCCGCGUGUGUGAAGAAGGCCUUCGGGUUGUAAAGCACUUUUAGUCGUGAGGAAGGUGGUGUAGUUAAUAGCUGCAUUAUUUGACGUUAGCGACAGAAGAAGCACCGGCUAACUCCGUGCCAGCAGCCGCGGUAAUACGGAGGGUGCGAGCGUUAUCCGGAUUUAUUGGGUUUAAAGGGUCCGUAGGCGGGUUAAUAAGUCAGUGGUGAAAUCCCAUCGCUUAACGAUGGAACUGCCAUUGAUACUGUUAGUCUUGAAUGAGGGUGCAGUGGUUGGAAUGUGUAGUGUAGCGGUGAAAUGCAUAGAUAUUACACAGAACACCGAUUGCGAAGGCAGAUCACUAACCCUAAAUUGACGCUGAGGGACGAAAGCGUGGGGAGCGAACAGGAUUAGAUACCCUGUAGACUGUC
rnacentral:rRNA from 1 species